rnacentral:rRNA from 1 species
UACAGAGGUCCCAAGCGUUGUUCGGAUUCACUGGGCGUAAAGGGUGCGUAGGCGGUCGGGUAAGUCUGACGUGAAAUCUCCAAGCUCAACUUGGAAAUGGCGUCGGAUACUAUUCGGCUUGAGGAGUGGAGGGGAGACUGGAAUUCCGGGUGUAGCGGUGAAAUGCGUAGAUAUCCGGAGGAACACCGGUGGCGAAGGCGGCUUCCUGGACCGACACUGACGCUGAGGCGCGAAAGCUAGGGGAGCAAACGGG